UGGGGAAUAUUGGACAAUGGGCGAAAGCCUGAUCCAGCCAUGCCGCGUGUGUGAAGAAGGCCUUUUGGUUGUAAAGCACUUUAAGUGGGGAGGAAAAGCUUAUGGUUAAUACCCAUAAGCCCUGACGUUACCCACAGAAUAAGCACCGGCUAACUCUGUGCCAGCAGCCGCGGUAAUACAGAGGGUGCAAGCGUUAAUCGGAAUUACUGGGCGUAAAGCGCGCGUAGGUGGUUAUUUAAGUCAGAUGUGAAAGCCCCGGGCUUAACCUGGGAACUGCAUCUGAUACUGGAUAACUAGAGUAGGUGAGAGGGGAGUAGAAUUCCAGGUGUAGCGGUGAAAUGCGUAGAGAUCUGGAGGAAUACCGAUGGCGAAGGCAGCUCCCUGGCAUCAUACUGACACUGAGGUGCGAAAGCGUGGGUAGCAAACAGGAUUAGAUACCCUGGUAGUCCACGCCGUAAACGAUGUCUACCAGUCGUUGGGUCUUUUAAAGACUUAGUGACGCAGUUAACGCAAUAAGUAGACCGCCUUGGGGAGUACAAGCGCGCAAGGUUA
rnacentral:rRNA from 1 species